GUAAGCAGAACUUUAAAACAUAACUUUUUUUAAAAAGCACAUAUAUAUCAGAUAUAGUAGCCUACAUGCUCAAAUAGCCUACAGUAAAAUGUCGAAGUGCUUCGCCAAAUAAGUAAAAUCGAUCACAAAGAAAUCGCAAUCAUAUUAAAACAGUUUCAUCUGAAAUGCAUUAGACUUUUUGUGGAAAAACUAAUCAGUGGGUACCUAGAAGUUUACAUGCACUAAAGGAAGAACCUUUAAAAAAAACUAGUAACAUGGUUUUGGUGGGCCGCAAUUGGAAAGAGUAACGUUUAAAAUCAGAAAAGAGUAACGUUUAAAAUCAGAGACAUUCCCCCCGCCCCCCGGAAUUCAGCCGUUUGGUCGAGCCCAGCGGGCGGGAAGCAACUUCAAACAAACAAAAGCCAACAGAAAGCCUCAGCAGGAAGUCACCGCCUUCGUGGAGUAGUCUGCAUCAUUACACUUGCCACUUACUGUUGCUGGUCCAAGAAUGAUCUGGAACUAACAUCUACGGUCCUAUGAGGUGACAACUGCAAACACAAGCCUGUCGAUCCACCUGCAGUCUGGUCUGAAUGACACAGUCCCUCUUCCAGCAUACAAGAUAGACGGCUCGCUGCUGCUAACCCUCAAACGGUUCAUUCAAGUGAGACAGAACUAAGUAGCACAAUGGCAGCUUCAUCCCCUGAACCAAUGAUUCUACGUGUUGUUGAGCCAGACCAGGCUAGAAAAUUAAAACUCAACUCACGACCAGCCUCUGUUGAUGCACUGAUCAAUAUUCUAAAAGAACAGCUGGACAUUGACCUUGACUUUGAUUUACUUUAUGAAGAUCCAGACUUCGAUGGAAAACUUACAUCCCUGAAAGACAUUGAGGAAUUGCCACAAAAAGCAGUUGUGCACAUUUCACUUUCACAAGACUCCAGUUCUAUUGCAUCUACUAUUCUGCUUUCAGAUGUGUCCUCUCCAGAGCGUCUCAGCAGGUGGCCUACGGGACCUUUUCCAGUUCCCACCUUUGCUUUUGAUGUUGAGCUGAAACUUAGAGAUGGGAAUGCGGAAUAUGAGAAGAACCACACACCCCUUAAAGUGACAAGAGACCUAAAGCAUAACAUUUUAGAAAAGCUUGCAUCUACUAUAUAUGGUUUUAAAGCUUACGCAAGUGAUAAAGACAUCGCAAUGGCUGCUGAGGCUCUUGUAGCCAAACAUCCCUGCCUGAAGGAAGCAGGAUCUGAGAGUGGCUGGAAUGGAUGGAAAUACAGCCUCAAGUUCAAAAUGGGCAAUUACAGGAACAAGAUGAGGCGUGCUGGAUGUCAGGAGGUCACCGUUAAUGCUGGAAGAAGAAGUAGAAGUAAUCCUGAAAAUGAACCUUCACAUUCCAACAUUAAAAGACCCAAGCGAGCAGAAGUGAACUUCCUACCCAACUUUGCCCAAGGAAAGGAUCCUUCAAGCCUUGAGGAGUUGAGGCAGACAAUUGUUGAGGAAGUCAAGAAGACUGAGAAGGACCUGCCCCUCAUUAGAAAGAUGAUGGAGACCACAUU